AGCAGAGCAGAGUGGUCGUAGCAGGAUUUGCCUUCCAAUCACACCCCGGCAUCUAGGAUCAAAUUCACCAGAACCUGCCAGGCACUGUGGGCAACCUUUUUCCUGUUAAAGAACUUUUGUUCCAUAUACUAUAUAUGUAAUUGGUAUAUAUAGAUAAGAUGCUCUGCAUAUAUCUAUAUAUUGGUAUGUAUAUACUAUAUCCACACAGAGAGAAGGCUUGGUUUGGAGUUGGAAGCUGUAGCCUUUUCUAUUGUCCUGUCCCUAAAGACUUUCGCCCCCUCCUUCUUUGAAAUGGAAAACUGUAGAAAAUGGGGAUAUAAUUGUGCACAUGCCAAUAUUUUCCCGAGUUUUCUCCUUCAGGAUAGCUGUUUGGGGUCCUUCCUGAAUUCUCAGUUGCCCUUCAGAGCAGUUUUGGCCCCCCUUUCCCUUCUCAUCGUCCUCUCGUCACCAAGCGUGGCACGAACCCAGACACACUUCUGUCAGAAUGGAGACAUCUGAGACACAUUUUUGUCCUUUAAUAUUUUUUUUUCUUCCUUUCCUCAAGCAAAAUGAUGCAUCUGAGAUUAAAUGUUUUUUGUUUCUUUGUUUCAAAUGUAUCUAAAUAAUUAAAAAGGCAAACAUUGGGCUUUGUUUUUCAUUUCUAAAAAGGUAAUUACGAUUAUGCCUGCUGAUAUGUGCUAGAAAGCUUCUAAUGUGAAGAUUAAAAAAAAAUAAACAUUCUAGUGACUGCUAGGAGGUUUCUCUUUAGAACGCUGCAUUAACUAUAUUGUACUUGGUAUUCUAAGGUCUAAAAAAUAAAAGAAUAAACACCACAGAAGCAUAUUCAUUACAAAUUAGGCUUCACUCUGAACUAAACCUGUAUGUUAAUUGCUUAGAUGAAAAUUGUAUGCAUCUGAUCUGGGUUUUUUUCUCUUGGAAAAAUGUUCAUGAUGACUGAGAAAGUAACCAUUCGUAUGAUUAAUUGCUAUGAUAGGCUUAAUGUUCUGUUAUUGAGAGGAAAAAUGUGCUCACUUCACCCUUCCAUUACCAUUUUUAUAUGCAUAUAUGUACCUUUUUUUUUUCCAGGAAAAUACUUUGUUUUUUUUUUUUUGUUUUUUUUUAAUUUUAUAGAUUCUUUCCCUGUAUUGAAUCAAUCGUUUUGGGGAAAGUGUUUUUUUUUGUUUUUCGUUUUUUUGCUUCUUCCUGUGAAGCAGAUCCUCAUGUAAAAUAUCUCUGGGACAUUCUCUCUGCAACAAUUUUUUGCUGCUGUGUGGUAGCGGUCUUUUUGCUCAUUUACUUUUCUUUUUUUUUUUCUUUUUUUUAUUGGAAAGAAAAUGUUGGAGGGUUUCUUUUCUAUAUAGUUUUGGGUCUUGUGAGGCAAGGUCAAUUUAAUUUUCCUUGUUUUUCCUCAGCCUUUAGCCAUGACACAUGCACACCAGUAACUUGGCGGUCUUUGUUUUUUUUUUUUUCUUCUUUUUUUUUUUGUUCCUUGCCUCCAAACUGUCCCUCAGAACCAGCUUUAAGUACUUUACAGCUGGACAUUCUAUAAAAGUGUAAUUUAUUCCCUUUUAGCAUGUCAGAAUAAAUUAAAAUGUCUUCUCAGAAAUGCUGUCCAGUCUCUGUAAUUUUACAAAAAUGCAAAUAACUUGGAUUACUGAUAGAUUUCCCCCCUCCCUUUCCAUUUGUUCAGGUAUCUGUCUCUAGUUUGCACAUUUAUUGUUGAAGUGCCACACAACCAGGCAUCAAACUUUUGUUUUUGAAACUGAAAAUUCAAAUGAAAUGCUUUAAAAAUGAGGAGGCAAAAUGAUUGGUUUUCAUAAAAAUGUAAAGCUUUGAUGUUUUUGUCUCAAGUGUUUAAAGGGACAUCUUUAUGGAAAUGAUCUCAAGAUAUUGCUGUCAUCACAUCAGGAAAGCAGUUCUUGUGGGGAUGGUGGGUAGUUCUAGGUGCUUGUGUUUUAAGUUAACAGGGUUUAUAUCUGUAAAUAUUAAAAUGGCUUAAAAUGGCAAGUGUGGAAAUUGAUUAAUGUUCUUAUUGACAAACCACAGAAAUGGCUGCUUCAGUUUCCUAAAACAUGCUUCUAAAAUAUUCAGCACUGGAUUAUUAAUGGUUUUGUGUUACGAAUUAUAAAGUUAAAAAAUAUAUAUAUGUUGCUUAUUGAGUCAUCUGUGGGUGUUUCAGAUCAAAGCAUAAUCAUAACUUGACUUAAGUAAAUGACAAAGUGGUUUAAAAUGUGCUGAGAAUAGGUCUAAAGACUCAAAUGGGACACUUGAGGGAAAUGAACAUGCGUGGAAGGGGGGAGGGGAAUGGAGUUCAGAUCAACACGUGCACAAAACAGCUGCUGCCUCAUGGGGAGGGAAGUAAGAAGGCCCAUAGAACAAACCUGUUCAACAAAACCACCAGUAUGUGUAGUCUAAACCCAAACCGUAAACCGAACUGCCUUACAUGAUCAUACACGAAUUUGUAUUCUGCAAAUGUUUAAUACUUAAUUUAAACACUUUAUUUGUAUAGCCUAUGGUGUAUUAUUCAAAGACGGCCUUCAUUCAGAAAGUAUGAAUGACUUGUUGCCCAAUGAAGGCUCUUCUGAAGGCCUCUCUUCCCUUUAUGGAGGUGGAGUCAUGACACACCUCACGCGUCACGUGACCGCAGCCAGUACAGACGUAGCGGUGUAAUCAAUGCUACACACUUUAAUCUCUCCUAAUGUUCCUCAAUAUCCCACUGUGAACGCAUCAUGAAAUCACCGUUUAAAAAGUUUUUUUUCUUUUUACUUGCAUUGAA
rnacentral:lncRNA from 1 species